rnacentral:sRNA from 12 species
CCACUGCCAGAGUGGCCCCUUGGGGAUGUCUGGACACCGAUAAGCCGGUAGUGCGGUGGUGCGAUAAACACCGGCAGUC